AGACCCGAAACCCGGUGAUCUAGCCAUGGGCAGGUUGAAGGUUGGGUAACACUAACUGGAGGACCGAACCGACUAAUGUUGAAAAAUUAGCGGAUGACCUGUGGCUGGGGGUGAAAGGCCAAUCAAACCGGGAGAUAGCUGGUUCUCCCCGAAAGCUAUUUAGGUAGCGCCUCGUGAAUUCAUCUCCGGGGGUAGAGCACUGUUUCGGCUAGGGGGCCAUCCCGGCUUACCAACCCGAUGCAAACUGCGAAUACCGGAGAAUGUUAUCACGGGAGACACACGGCGGGUGCUAACGUCCGUCGUGAAGAGGGAAACAACCCAGACCGCCAGCUAAGGUCCCAAAGUCAUGGUUAAGUGGGAAACGAUGUGGGAAGGCCCAGACAGCCAGGAUGUUGGCUUAGAAGCAGCCAUCAUUUAAAGAAAGCGUAAUAGCUCACUGGUCGAGUCGGCCUGCGCGGAAGAUGUAACGGGGCUAAACCAUGCACCGAAGCUGCGGCAGCGAACGUAUCACCCAAGACAACUUUACGGAGUUGACGAUUGACGGAGCGAAGCGACGUCAAAGCGUUCAUUAAAGUCGAGUUGGCUUAGGGAUACGUUCGUUGGGUAGGGGAGCGUUCUGUAAGCCUGUGAAGGUGUGUCGUGAGGCAUGCUGGAGGUAUCAGAAGUGCGAAUGCUGACAUAAGUAACGAUAAAGCGGGUGAAAAGCCCGCUCGCCGGAAGACCAAGGGUUCCUGUCCAACGUUAAUCGGGGCAGGGUGAGUCGACCCCUAAGGCGAGGCCGAAAGGCGUAGUCGAUGGGAAACGGGUUAAUAUUCCCGUACUUGGUGUUACUGCGAAGGGGGGACGGAGAAGGCUAUGUUGGCCGGGCGACGGUUGUCCCGGUUUAAGCGUGUAGGUGUGUGUUCCAGGUAAAUCCGGUUCACUUUAACACUGAGGCGUGACGACGAGGCACUACGGUGCUGAAGCAACAAAUGCCCUGCUUCCAGGAAAAGCCUCUAAGCAUCAGGUAACACGAAAUCGUACCCCAAACCGACACAGGUGGUCAGGUAGAGAAUACCAAGGCGCUUGAGAGAACUCGGGUGAAGGAACUAGGCAAAAUG
rnacentral:rRNA from 1 species